rnacentral:rRNA from 1 species
CAGCAGCCACGGGAAUACGAAGGGGGCUAGCGUUGCUCGGAAUUACUGGGCGUAAAGGGAGCGUAGGCGGACAUUUAAGUCAGGGGUGAAAUCCCAGAGCUCAACUCUGGAACUGCCUUUGAUACUGGGUGUCUUGAGUGUGAUAGAGGUAUGUGGAACUCCGAGUGUAGAGGUGAAAUUCGUAGAUAUUCGGAAGAACACCAGUGGCGAAGGCGACAUACUGGAUCAUUACUGACGCUGAGGCUCGAAAGCGUGGGGAGCAAACAGGAUUAGAGACCCCAGUAGUCCCUGUCUCUUAUAC